AGGGUAGAAGACGGACAGUCCUGAGUUUUUGCCUAGUAUUUAGACCUGGCAGUGUAAGCCACCUAGGUUCCAGGCCGAGGAAAUGGGGCACCUGGAUGGAAGGCACUGCCUCUGAUCCCACCUGUCUGGACUAUAAUCAACUCCUCUCUAGUAGCAUAGGGUUUCUCCUUGGAUGAGAAAAUUUUCAUGUUUCAUUUUCAUGAUUCAGUAACGGAGUUUGAGACUACAGUGGAAUGGUUAUUGAGUUUGCAGAUCUCGUGACCUUUGGCUUCUCCGUCAGCUGAACAUUUUCAUGAUUCAGUAAGCAGAGUUUGAGACUACAGUGGCAUCAUGCUAGAGGUUUUUUCUUCAUCGACACCCUUAAUCAUCUACAGGACAGGGUUUAGGAAUCUGGGCCAUGUUUUAGAGGGCCUCAACCAAAUGGUACCAAGAAUUCUGGAUCUGUCUGGUCAAGCAAUUUUGCAAUCGGUGACAGGAAGCUCACAAGCAGGUCAAGUACCCAAGCAGCUAGUCCAAGGUCUCUAGUGCUUCUAGUAAUCAAUGGUGUUCAUCAACAUUUGCACACAUAGUUGAACUAGCUUCAGUGUUCACAGAUAACCAGUGAUUUAGAAGAUAUACCUUAUCCUCCUCUGGAUUGUCAGAAUUAAAAAUAUCAGAUUUCUCGCGAAGUGCAUCU
rnacentral:lncRNA from 7 species